GAAGGGCUGGUUAUGAGUAAUGUGAUACAAUUUUAUGAGAUGAUGAGAUUACAAUAACAAUACCUCCUCUCAUAGAAUAGCCAGCAAGUCUCCACUAAAUAACAGUGCCUUGAUUUUAUAGAUGUUUCAUCAUGGAUAUUGAGUUAAUGUGAACCAUUUGUAGACACAGGAGUUUAUUAAAGACUUAUAUAAUAUCUUUCAAGUAUUUAGAAUAGUGUUGAAAUUAAGCCUGCAUCCCCACGAUUUUCAGCGGUGCUGAUGCCUAAUAAACUCAACCCCUUGCAUGCCAAAAUUGGCUUAAAGCCCAUCUGUUACCCAAGCUACACUUCAAGCAUCGAGGUUCAAAAAUGUGAUUUUGAAUAUGCAAGAGUUUGAGGAAUUCACUACUCACACUUUCUUGAACAGUCUAUCCAAGUGCAUCAAGCAAAAUGUGAGUAAAGAAAUUUUGAGCAAAGGAUUGAUAGUAAUGUUGAAUACAUUUAAUAGUAGAUCAAAGAUUAAAAGGUGAAAGUGAGGGUGAGAAGAGUGUAUGAAUGCUUUGUGUUCUGACAAAGAGAAUGUAGCACCCAGGUCCUACCUGCUUGGAUGCAUUGCCAGUGCCCACGGUAGGCCAUUUUAUCCAGGUUUUUAGGUAUUGUCUUAUUUUGUUUGUUUUUUUUCUUUUCAGGAGUCUUAGUCCAAGACCAAUAACUCCGUAACUGGUAGAUUUGGAAGACUUUAAUAGUGCUUAACAUUUUGUACAUAGCUUUAUAACAGUUUUCUUUUUCUUUUUUUCUGAGAGAUUCUUUUCAAUAUACCCCAUCAUGGUUGAACUCAAAAAUCAUUGCUUAUUUAAAAUCUACAACUGCUGACGUUUUGUAACGUUCGCAUUCCAGAUACAACAGAGAAAUGCAUAAUGUCCAGUCAAUUUAUUAAAGUUCCAAAGUCGGUCGCGCGCAGUGGCUCACGCCUGUAAUCUCAACACUUCGGGAGGCCGAGGCGUGUGGAUCACGAGUAUGUUUCCAGUCUCAAUAGAAAUCGAUGCCAAUCCAGAAAUACAAGCAUUAUUCUAAUACUUCUCACACAUUACUGCAGGAGUGAGGACACAGCGAAAGUGAGACAAGGAAAAGAGAACAAAAUAAAACAGGAAAGACAGAAAAGCCAAUACCACACGUGUUAAGAGUUUCAAGGAAAAUAUGUUGGGAGUUCCUGGCAUAGAGAAUGUCACAAAGACAUGUUUUCAAUAGUAGUGCUAUCCCGAGGGCAGAGAAGACCCAGAGAAAGCCCAAGUGGCUGCUGGAACAAAAUCAGACACCGUGCCACCUGUCCACACUCCUUGGCUCUGCCAUCAUGCUGAAGAUCGCUUUAAAGGACUGGCUUCCCUCCCCCCAAAAUUAAAAGAGCACAGACUGAGAAACUGAAUGUGGGAGACAGCAGUGGAUUAUGCUGUUCUCAGGGGUCACCUCAGGUUUGGAAGCAUUCUUUCAAAUUAACCCAUCUCAGGCCAUCUGCAGAGAAGAAAGGUGGUACCUAACUUUUUUUCUUGUCGGCAUUUGGUAGGGGUGUUUUAUUGACCAAAUAUGUUCCCACAACCUCGUUUUUUGUGACUAACUAAAUAUAGUAGAGUUUUAAAUUUUAUCAUCAAAAUCUAUAGACAAUUUUUGAUGAAAAUAGACUCCAUCUCUAUGUCCUGCUUUUCUUCUUCUUAUUAAUUACAUUGCUGUAUAAAAGAACAAGACUUCAGCAUCAAGAAUAUCUUGUCUCUUGGCAUUGAAUUUAUACAAGGUGCUCUUUCUUUAAUGCUGUCUCAAAGGACAUAUUUUUACUCAUUAAAAAGGAAGAUCGGAAUCUAGUUGUAUGCACUGCUCCAACAUAUUAAUAAUUAAAAUUAGGAGGUAAAUGUGGUCAAAGCUAUAGAAAGACGGAGAUGUCAUUUAUAUGGAUUACUCUAUAGCACUCUACAAACAGAAAUUGUUAAAUAAUAGUUUAUAUAAAUAUUUUGUAGCAUUUCAAAUAUUUGAGUGCUUGAAGUUUCUCCUCUUCUAUAGUUCAGAUUAUCAAUUUGAAGACUUACUCCGCUAGUUAAUAUGUUUUUAGUCUCGUUUGAGUAUUAUAUAAAAGCAAUUUUCAGUUAAAUGUGUUCCGCUUACAUAAAACGUUACAAAUUAUUGAGGAUUUAAUUACUUAUUCAUGUUCCUGUAAUGUCUUUAGAAGAUUUUCUUAUUAUUACCUAUCAAUAUAUGUAUGCUUUGUCAAAGAAAAAUCAAACAUAUAUAUCAUUGAAAUUGAAACUUUUUAAAAGUACUUAUUAAUUCUAUUGAAAAACCACAUCCAUAGGAACAAUUACAAUAUAAUAUUGUGAACAUGUAAACAUAUACCCUAUGUCUAUUUUAUGUAUAAGCAUGUAUGAUUAAAAAUAUAGUGAAGAAUUUUUAAACCUAGUAUUAUAAAGUAAAAAUUAGUUAACUUCCGAUGAUUAUUUGUUAAUUAAGAUAAAAUUAUUUUGAUUUGGGUGAUUUUAAAUAAAGAAAAAUAUUAAAUUACAUGACAAAAAUUCUUUAUAAAAUGUUUAUGAUUUUUACAUUGGUUUUAUCACUUUUCCCACUAUUUUAUUUUAAGAUGACCUGCCUUGUUUAAAACACUGUAUUCAUCUUAGUUAAAUUAGAUUCCAUUUGUAAAAUAAUUAACAAAUGAUUUGCUCUAUUGUACAGUGCGGUUAUAAACUGAGUCAGUAUCUCAAGAUUUGAUCCCCAUUAUCAUCAUCUGUGGCCCUAUUUGUUUUAUAAAUGUGUUGUCUUUUUCCAUGCCUGUCACAUCUCUAUUGCUCUUUCAUUUUUCUCUUUGUCCCUUAUAGGGAGCAUUGCCUAUCUCUAGAUUAAGCAAAAGUUGCAUCAUAAAAAAGCACAAUAACCUGCUCAAUCUUUCUCACACAGAGAAAUGUUUGUUAAGUAAUUAAAGUGUAGAUGAUGAUACAAAGAGCUUGAUUAAAUUAGAUGCCAAAGUACCCUUGUGAUUCAGAAUAUGAAUGGUAUUUAAUUUCUUUGAAAUCAUUAAUUGCUGAGUGAGAUUAAUUAAUGCCAAUAUUCCAGAAGAUGUUCUACUUAGUGAAAUGUAUACAACGAAAAGCACAAUAACCUGCUCAAUCUUUCUCACACAAAGAAAUGUUUGUUAAGUAAUUAAACUGUAGAUGAUGAUACAAAGAGCUUGAUUAAAUUAGGUGCCAAAGUACCCUUGUGAUUCAGAAUAUGAAUGGUAUUUAAUUUCUUUGAAAUCAUUAAUUGCUGAGUGAGAUUAAUUAAUGCCAAUAUUCCAGAAGAUGUUCCAGUCAGUGAAAUGUAUACAACGUGCAAAAGAUUCAGAACUCUGAAGGGCAACAUUAUUCUAUAAUUAAGAAUUAAGAAUUAAUUCACAUUAAUUACUGGGGAGAAAUACUUUUUAAGAAUUAAUGACUGAGAAAAUGUUUUUAUUUUUUAUUUAGAAAAUUAUUUUGUGCAUGAGCAUUACCGCAAGUUUUGCAAGAAACAUAAAUUUAAAGAAACAAUUAUGUGCACAAGAUGAAUUUAAUAACAUCUUGAUAUAUUCCACGAUUGCGGUUUUAUUUGGUAAAUCUUUCAAGGCACACCAUUUAAAGAGAAUAAAUGAGUCUUGGAAAUCUUGUAGGUAAGGGUAAAUAUUAGGAUGCAUCCAGUUACAUUUACACACACAUACAGUUACAUUUACACACACAUACACGCAUACAGACUGAGUCACGUGUGUGUAUAUAUAUAUAUGAAUUUACCAAUUGAUGUUAACUAAUAUUUAUAAGAGCCAGUUGGAUUGAUAUAUAUUGUUGAACCUGAAAAAUAUUUAUUAUAUACAUGUUUAAAAUACACACAGAAAUAAAUAGCAAUUGCACUAGGCAUUUGAAACUGUACUAAAAUAUAAGCUGUGAACAUUUUGUGAUCAUUACAAAUUCUUACACUGAAUAAAUAUUUUUAUUUUUACAAUAUUAAUAU